AGGAGAAGAAGAAAAAAAAACGAGGAGAAGAAGAAGAAGUGAGGGAUGCGGGAUUGGAAACGCUUGGCGCUCUCUUUGUCAACUCUCACUCUGACGGGGAGGAGAGAGAACCGGCUGGCACGCAGAGGCUGAGCAGGGCAGGCCGAGGAUGGCGAUUGACGUCGAGGGGACGGCGGCGUCGUGGCAGGUGGGAGCCGCGCUGACGAACCGGAACUGUCUUCCUGCAGGAAUGGACUUUGUUGGGCGAACUGAAGGAAGUGUUUGCCCGGCUUACCAUUGAUGCCAGGACCGCCACUGCUGAUUGGCUGACGAUACAACGGGAAACGGAAGAGAAAGGGGUGUUUGUUUUUAAUUG